rnacentral:rRNA from 1 species
GAUGAACGCUGGCGGCGUGCUUAACACAUGCAAGUCGAACGAGAAAUGUAGACGGAAACCUUCGGGCGGAAGCCUUCAUUUCGAGUGGCGGACGGGUGAGUAACGCGUGGGUAACCUGCCUCAUACAGGGGGAUAACAGUUGGAAACGACUGUUAAUACCGCAUAAGACAACAGAAUCGCAUGAUGCGGGGGUAAAAACUCCGUUGGUAUGAGAUGGACCCGCGUUCGAUUCGCCAGUGGGCGGGGUAACGGCCCACCAAAGCGACGAUCGGUAGCCGAUCUGAGAGAAUGACCGGCCACAUUGGGACUGAGACACGGCGCAAACUCCUACGGGAGGCAGCAGUGGGGAAUAUUGCACAAUGGGGGAAACCCUGAUGCAGCGACGCCGCGUGAGUGAAGAAGUACUUCGGUAUGUAAAGCUCUAUCAGCAGGGAAGAAAAUGACGGUACCUGAGUAAGAAGCCCCGGCUAACUACGUG